CCUACGGGUGGCUGCAGUGAGGAAUAUUGGUCAAUGGACGAGAGUCUGAACCAGCCAAGUAGCGUGAAGGAUGACUGCCCUAUGGGUUGUAAACUUCUUUUAUAUGGGAAUAAAAUGUUCCACGUGUGGGAUUUUGUAUGUACCAUAUGAAUAAGGAUCGGCUAACUCCGUGCCAGCAGCCGCGGUAAUACGGAGGAUCCGAGCGUUAUCCGGAUUUAUUGGGUUUAAAGGGAGCGUAGGUGGGUUGUUAAGUCAGUUGUGAAAGUUUGUGGCUCAACCGUAAAAUUGCAGUUGAAACUGGCAGACUUGAGUACAGUAGAGGUGGGCGGAAUUCGUGGUGUAGCGGUGAAAUGCUUAGAUAUCACGAAGAACUCCGAUUGCGAAGGCAGCUUACUAAACUAUAACUGACACUGAGGCUCGAAAGUGUGGGUAUCAAACAGGAUUAGAUACCCGUGUAGUC
rnacentral:rRNA from 1 species